rnacentral:rRNA from 1 species
UAAAAGUCGUAACAAGGUUUCUGUAGGUGAACCUGCAGAAGGAUCAUUAGUGAAGAUUUGGGCAGGCCAUACGGACGCCAAAAAGUGUCCCUGGCCGCCUACACCCACUAUACAUCCACAAACCCGUGUGCACUGUCUUGGAGAAAGGCUUCAGAGAAGUUUUUUGUGGCCUCUCUUGGGGUCUUUCUUCGCUACAAACUCGAAUGGUUAGUAUGAACGUGGAACUUGGUUGGACCGUCACUGGCCAACAAACUAUACACAACUUUCGACAACGGAUCUCUUGGUUCUCCCAUCGAUGAAGAACGCAGCGAAACGCGAUAGGUAAUGUGAAUUGCAGAAUUCCGUGAAUCAUCGAAUCUUUGAACGCACCUUGCGCUCUAUGGCAAUCCGUAGAGCAUGCCUGUUUGAGUGCCAUGAAAUCUCCCACCCCAAGCGGUUUUUAAAUGAAACGGCUUGGCGGAUGGGGUCUGGAUGGGUGCCUCUGCCUGCGCUACCUAGCACAGGCUCGCCCGAAAUGCAUGAGCGCCUUGAGACACUUUGCAUCCGCCUCUCUGUUUGGGAGGAGGCGGCCAAGCAGUGUUUUUCUCCUGGCAUGGCAUGAUACGUCAUUUGCUAUGUCGCCUAAAGGAGGAAUGUUUGGUUGUGUCUGCGUGUGCUUCGAACUUGCCUCUGUGGCACAUCCCAAUUUCACUUCUGGUCUCAAAUCAGGUAGGAUCACCCGCUGAACUUAAGCAUAUCAA